rnacentral:lncRNA from 1 species
UUGGAAGAUACUGUCUCUUUGGAUAGUUUAGGUGUCUUAGCCAAUGGAGUUUUAGAGCUUAAUCUCAAUUGUAUUGACGGUUCAUAUCCAUCUUCUUUGGCCCAUACACCAUAUUCUUUAAAAACCGAAUCUGACGUUCUUACUAUUAAAGGAGCAAAGGGGCAAUCUUUAAAUGUUGAAAUAGUUCAAGCAUCUAAUAAAAAAGCUUUCCUUGGAGGCUUUGUCAAUACAAAGACAAAGCUCGAAUAUCAUCAUGCAGAGGCUCAAACACGAAGAAAAUCAAAUAUUCGAAUUGACAUCAAUCAUGAAGACUAUGUUUCUCAAAUACUUCAAACUAAACCUGAAAGUAACAAAUAUCAGCAAGCAGGAUAUGAAAAAUCUGUCCAGACUUCAAGAAAUCCUCCUCGAGAUGACUAUCCAUUGAAUAAAAUCAUUAUUCCAUCAGGUCAUUAUGUAACCGCAGGUGAAAUAUCUGAACUUUUUGUGAAGAAUGUUAUAGUCAUACAAAGAAGUGUACGGAAAUGGAGAGCACGAAAAAAGAUAUUGAGAGCUCAACAAUAUAAAAAGGACCAAAUGAUUUCCGAUGAGGAUAAGUAAUAAUUUCUAAUUAAUAAAAAUUGGUCAACUGCUACAGGGUUUUUCAAACUCUUCAGAUCUGUACCCCUAGCUAAACCAUCUUAAUAUAUUCAUUUUAAAUUUCGCCGUUCUACAGGCCAAAGCGAUAAAAUAUUAAUUAAGUAACUCUCCAACACAAUAUUUCUCAAACUUUUUUAUUCAGUAGAGCAUUUAUGAAAUAACCAAGCCUUGGAACAGAUUUUUUGGUCCUAUUUUUUUAUUCAUAAAAGAAACAUAAAUUUUUGGGUUCAUUUGGAUAUUUUUAUAGGCGUACAGUUUGAAAAGCUGAGACUUCCGUUACAGAUCGUACAAUUAAUAAUAAAUUAUGUCCUUGGAGCAUGUAUAAGGAAAAAUGGAAGUGAGGAAGUAAAAAAAAAAAAAAACGGCAUAAUUCUUUUAAGCUGACAUAGGUUAUUAUAAAAAACAAUGUAUCAUAUCGACAUCUUAAGAUAAUCCUGUGCUCUAACAAUGAGGGAUAUGGUUGACUUAAUUUUUUCUUCUGUAUCCCUAGCUUUAUUAUUAAGUAACCCGCCACAAUUCUAAUCUCUUCUAUUAUCUUUGUUAUCUUUUGAAUAGUCUGUAACAAGGGAUAAAAGUGAGUCAGAACAGUAUAAAUUCAUUUUGACAAUUUUUGUAUGAUAAAUUAAAAAAAUAUUGAAUCCGGCGAGAAAUAAUCAUGUGGGCCUUAUUUGAUGAUAAGAUAACUGAUGCGUUGACGACAAGAAACCCAUAUUACAGGAUAACUGAUAUAGAUUUAAAAAAAAAAUCUCC